rnacentral:lncRNA from 1 species
AUGAUUUCACUUUUCUUCCACAGAGAGAAGUUAAGUAAGAGGGCUUUGGGUCAAGAUUGUGACUGGAUUCAAAUCCUAAAGUUUUCACUACAUUGUGUGCCCGUGGCCAGACUUCUUCAGCUUUUGCUAACUCCUAAAGCCACUACAGCAUUCCAACUGAUUCCAUCCAACAGUCCGGUGAUCCAGCUCUCUGUGAGAUUGCUAAUGACAGAAUCACCAUCUCCCAUGGCCACUCUUCAACCCCCUCCUGUGAUGGUUCUGGUCGCUUUGAUGCUUUGGCUAUUCUUUCCUUUUGAAACUUUCUCCUAAUUUGGCUUUUGUGACGCCGCACUCUCGCAGCCUAAUUCUAAUUAUUAAAUUGUUCCUUCUCAGCCCCCAUCGCUAGAUUUUCUUCUAACCACUUCUUAAAUAUUCGUGUUCUGGAUUCUACCCUCAGCCUAUUCUCCUCCCUUCUUUCUGGUUUUAACUGCAGUCCAUCAAGAAUGCCCAAAUCUGUAUAUCCAUCUCCAAACUUGAGAUCUAGUUUUAUAUUUUGAAUUGUUCACUUGGCAUUUCCACCUACUUUUCUUUUAAAUAACUCAAACUCUGUAAGUUCCAACUGAAAUUAUUGUCCAAAUGUCAGAAUUCUGAUUUUCGUCAUCUAUUUCCUGUCUCAAUUAGCAAUCUAUCCUUAGCCCAGUCAUCCAAGGUAGAUAUUUGUGAAAAAUUCUUUCUGUCAUUUUUCUCUCUCAAUCCCUACAUAAAUAAACCACCAUGUUUGUAAUUAGUACCAAUUAAAUAAUUGUCAAAUUACCCUCUGUUCUCCAUUUUGUUGAAGUAGGUUUAGUUUGGACCCUCAUUUUCUUUUUUUUCCUAGAAUAUUUUUUAUAUCUUCAUAAAUAGGUCCUCUGUCUAAGAUCUGGACAUCCCUCUUGUCUGUUAUUCACACUGCUGCUGUAGUCAUCACACUGUUAUCAAUACUAUAUAUAGCACAAUUCAAAGAGCAUUUCCUGAUUAGGAUGGCAGCAUGAGCAUAGC